CACCACCCUAAAUAAAAUAUGCUACUACAUCAGCCCCUCUCCUUUCACCUCAGAGCUUCAUCCAGGAGACACUCAUAUCUCUCCUCCACUGAGGAAACAUCAUCAUCAUCAUCAUGUCAGUUUUUCAUCUUUUUGAGUCUGUCAUCAUGAUCAGAUGUUUCCUGACAUUCACCAUCUCAUUGUUCUGGCUGACAGGAAGUUCUCUGGGCAGUAAAGUCCUCCAGGUUCCCUCAGCUCUAUUGGAAAGUCCCAAUGUUACAGUGAUACUCAAAUGCAGCCAUACUAUUAGUUCCUACUAUACUAUAUUGUGGUACCAGCAGUCAAUAGCUGAUUCUAAUCUGAAACUGAUUGGAUUUGUGUUUUAUAAGAAUCCAACAGUUGCAGAUCAAUAUAAAGAGCACUUUGAAAUCCGUGGAGAUGGAGAGAUAGAAGCAUCCCUUCAGCUUCUGUCAGGCCCUGAAAACAGUGCAGUGUAUUAUUGUGCAGCCAGCAAAACACAGUGAUGUAGUUACCCUCCUUUUCCCUACAAAAACCCUCUGAUCCUUCACUCCUUAACUGUAGUGUACAUCAACACCCAGCACACCUGCUAUAAACCACUAUAGAUGUCCUGGGCACAUUAACACCCAGCACACCUGCUAUAAACCAUUAUAGAUGUUCUGGGCACAUCAAGAAAGUUGUUAUUAAAUCUUGAUCGUACCCAAUAAUGUGUUUGAAGUUGUUGCUUUAAGAAGCGGUUUGGGUUUUUCUUAUCAAAUUUCAGCAUAUUUCUAGUCUUAUUAGUGUAGAAUAGAAAAUAUUUAAUCUUUAAAACUAAAGACUAGUGCUCACCAUGACUUAGUUACCGGUUUGUUCCACAAUAUACCUUUAAGUUGAACAGGAGACCUUUAGGAGACCAAUGCAUCUGUUUGAAAAUCAACGUACAUAUUAAUGUCAUGUCCUUCCCCUCCGGCAGCUCAGUUCUGCUCAUCUCUAUUGAGUUAUUUACUUUUCACCCCUAUACUUUGGUCAAAAGUAGUGCACUAUAUAGGGAAUAGAGUGCCAUAGGGCUCUGGUCAAAAGAAGUGCACUAUAUAGGGAAUAGGGUGCCAUAUGGCUCUGGUCAAAAGUAGUGCACUAUAUAGGGAAUAGGGUGCCAUUUGGGAUGCAAACAAUAUAUUUGACACUCCCACUAGAUGACAUCACAUCUCUGACUAUCUGAAAUCCCUUUCUCCUUGUUCAUGUGAUAUUUCUCUCCAGAACCAUCAACAUGAUCAAGCUUCUCAUACAUGUUGCAACUCUACCACUGACUGUCACAAACAGACAAAGUCCAGCAGACUCCUACUGCAAUACUAAAAGGACCUGAAGAUAACGUUCAACUGAACUGCAGCCAUACUAUUCCAAGCUACAACAUUAUACUGUGGUACCAGCAGUCAGCACAAAACACUGCUCUGAAACUCAUUGGGUAUGUGCUACUCACCAGUCCUACCGUGGAAGAUUCCUUUAAAGAGCGUUUUACUGUGAGUGGAGAUGCUGCAACUGGGAAAAUGGCAUAUCUACAUAUUCCUAAACUGAGAGGAACUGAA